rnacentral:rRNA from 1 species
AUUGAACGCUGGCGGCAGGCCUAACACAUGCAAGUCGAGCGGAGCGGCGGACGGGCGAGUAAUGCUUAGGAAUCAGCCUGUUUGUGGGGGACAACAUCCCGAUAGGGAUGCUAAUACCUCAUACUUAUAGAUGAGCCUACGUCGGUUUAGCUAGGUGGUGGGGUAAAGGCCUACCAAGGCGGCGAUCUGUACCGGGUCUGAGAGGAUGAUCCGCCACACUGGGACUGAGACACGGCCCAGACUCCUACGGGAGGCAGCAGUGGGGAAUAUUGGACAAUGGGGGGAACCCUGAUCCAGCCAUGCCGCGUGUGUGAAGAAGGCCUUAUGGUUGUAAAGCACUUUAAGCGAGGAGGCGUUACUCGCAGAAUAAGCACCGGCUAACUCUGUGCCAGCAGCCGCGGUAAUUC